rnacentral:rRNA from 1 species
AUAUCAAUAAGCGGAGGAAAAGAAACCAACAGGGAUUGCCCCAGUAACGGCGAGUGAAGCGGCAACAGCUCAAAUUUGAAAUCUGGCGCAAGCCCGAGUUGUAAUUUGUAGAGGAUGCUUCUGGGCAGCGGCCGGUCUAAGUUCCUUGGAACAGGACGUCAUAGAGGGUGAGAAUCCCGUAUGCGACCGGUUGGCACCCGUCACGUAGCUCCUUCGACGAGUCGAGUUGUUUGGGAAUGCAGCUCUAAAUGGGUGGUAAAUUCCAUCUAAAGCUAAAUACCGGCCAGAGACCGAUAGCGCACAAGUAGAGUGAUCGAAAGAUGAAAAGCACUUUGGAAAGAGAGUUAAAAAGCACGUGAAAUUGUUGAAAGGGAAGCGCAUGCAACCAGACUUGUCGGCGGUGUUCCGCCGGUCUUCUGACCGGUCUACUCGCCGCCGACAGGCCAGCAUCGUGUGGGCGCGCCGGACAAAGGCGUCGGGAAUGUGGCCCCUCGGGGUGUUAUAGCCCGGCGCACAAUACGGUGCCGCCCGCGCGAGGUCCGCGCUUCGGCUAGGAUGCUGGCGUAAUGGUUGUCUGCGGCCCGUCUUGAAACACGGACCAAGGAGUCUAACAUCUAUGCGAGUGUUCGGGUGUCAAACCCCUACGCGGAAUGAAAGUGAACGGAGGUGGGAACCCCCCGGGGUGCACCAUCGACCGAUCCUGAUGUCUUCGGAUGGAUUUGAGUAAGAGCAUAGCUGUUGGGACCCGAAAGAUGGUGAACUAUGCCUGAAUAGGGUGAAGCCAGAGGAAACUCUGGUGGAGGCUCGCAGCGGUUCUGACGUGCAAAUCGAUCGUCAAAUUUGGGUAUAGGGGCGAAAGACUAAUCGAACCAUCUAGUAGCUGGUUCCUGC